rnacentral:rRNA from 1 species
CCCUUAGAUGUUCUGGGCCGCACACGCGCUACACUGAAGGAGGCAGCGUGUACUCCUGGAUCGAAAGAUUUGGGUAACCCGCGAAUCUCCUUCGUGCUAGGGAUUGAGGUUUGCAAUUAUCCUUCAUGAACGAGGAAUUCCCAGUAAGUGCAAGUCAUAAGCUUGCGCUGACUACGUCCCUGCCCUUUGUACACACCGCCCGUCGCUACUACCGAUUGAAUGAUUUAGUGAGGACUUCGGACUGGGACCGAUGCGGCUUUCGGGCUGCGUCGGUAUUCUGGAAAGAUGUCCAAACUGUAUCAUUUAGAGGAAGUAAAAGUCGUNACA